rnacentral:rRNA from 1 species
GACGAACGCUGGCGGCGUGCUUAACACAUGCAAGUCGAGCGGUAAGGCCCUUUCGGGGGUACACGAGCGGCGAACGGGUGAGUAACACGUGGGUGACCUGCCCUUAGCUCUGGGAUAAGCCUGGGAAACUGGGUCUAAUACCGGAUAUGACUCCAUGACGCAUGUUGUGGGGUGGAAAGCCUUGUGCGGCUAGGGAUGGGCCCGCGGCCUAUCAGCUUGUUGGUGGGGUGAUGGCCACCAAGGCGACGACGGGUAGCCGGCCUGAGAGGGCGACCGGCCACAUUGGGACUGAGACACGGCCCAGACUCCUACGGGAGGCAGCAGUGGGGAAUCUUGCGCAAUGGGCGAAAGCCUGACGCAGCGACGCCGCGUGGGGAUGACGGCCUCGGUU